GACGAACGCUGGCGGCGUGCUUAACACAUGCAAGUCGAACGGAAAGGCCCUGCUUUUGUGGGGUGCUCGAGUGGCGAACGGGUGAGUAACACGUGAGUAACCUGCCCUUGACUUUGGGAUAACUUCAGGAAACUGGGGCUAAUACCGGAUAGGAGCUCCUGCUGCAUGGUGGGGGUUGGAAAGUUUCGGCGGUUGGGGAUGGACUCGCGGCUUAUCAGCUUGUUGGUGGGGUAGUGGCUUACCAAGGCUUUGACGGGUAGCCGGCCUGCGAGGGUGACCGGCCACAUUGGGACUGAGAUACGGCCCAGACUCCUACGGGAGGCAGCGGUGGGGAAUAUGGCACAAUGGGCGGAAGCCUGAUGCAGCAACGCCGCGUGCGGGAUGACGGCCUUCGGGUUGUAAACCGCUUUCGCCUGUGACGAAGCGUGAGUGACGGUAAUGGGUAAAGAAGCACCGGCUAACUACGUG
rnacentral:rRNA from 1 species